AACGAACGCUGGCGGCAUGCCUAACACAUGCAAGUCGAACGAGACAUUCGGGUCUAGUGGCGCACGGGUGCGUAACGCGUGGGAACCUGCCCUUAGGUUCGGAAUAACUCCCCGAAAGGGGUGCUAAUACCGGAUAAUGUCUUCGGACCAAAGAUUUAUCGCCUUUGGAUGGGCCUGCGUUGGCUUAGCUAGUUGGUAGGGUAAAAGCCUACUAAGGCGAAGAUCCAUAGCUGGUCUGAGAGGAUGAUCAGCCAAACUGGGACUGAGACACGGCCCAGACUCCUACGGGAGGCAGCAGGAGUGAAUAUUGGACAAUGGGCGAAAGCCUGAUCCAGCAAUGCCGCGUGAGUGAUGAAGGCCUUAGGGUUGUAAAGCUCUUUUACCCGGGAUGAUAAUGACAGUACCGGGAGAAUAAACGCCGGCUAACUCCGUG
rnacentral:rRNA from 1 species